rnacentral:snoRNA from 11 species
GAACUUGGUACACAGGUAGCCAAUGUAAAGCACGUUGCAGAAAUACAACCUUGAGGUUACCAGCACAUGCACUACUAUCUUAAAGUUU